UGGGGCUCGUAACAUGGAUCUUGUCAAGAGCCUGGGGGCAGAUGAGGUUCUUGACUACAGGACUCCUGAUGGGGCGGCUCUGAAGAGCCCUUCUGGUCGCAAAUAUGAUUCAGUGAUCCACUGUGCAGUGGGCAUUCCUUGGUCUACCUUUGAGCCUAAUUUGAGUGCAAAUGGGAAGGUAAUAGAUAUUACUCCUAGCCCUAGUUCUUUAAUGACUUUUGCUUUGAAAAAGCUUACCUUCUCGAAGAAGCAGCUGGUUCCAUUAAUGCUGAUACCUAAGAAAAAGAACCUUGACUAUCUUGUGAAGUUGGUGGAGGAAGGAAAGCUUAAGACAGUAAUUGAUUCAAAGCAUCCCCUACGUAAGGCUGAAGAUGCUUGGGCUAAGAGCAUUGAUGGCCAUGCCACUGGGAAGAUUAUUGUGGAGUCUUAGUUUAUGAAGUGUAAGUGAUACCUACUGUAGUUUUAUACAAUUCAGUGAUUGGGGUUGCUUAUGAGGCAUUCACAUACUCGUAAGUACUCAUUAUUGAACAAUGCAAAUGAUAAGGUGGGGUUUUUUGUUGUGCUUUGCUGGUAUUUAGAACACUGAUGUUUGGAGAUCAUGUUGCUGGCUGUGCAGUGUAUUUUGUUAUCAAUUGCAUAUGAUACUUGGGAUAAUCGGGAUUUGACACUGUGGAUAAUUAGGAUAUGUGAACUUUGUUUAUGAAUGCUUUUAGGCUUUUUGCAAAUGCUUAAGAUUAGACUCUGGAUGUAAAGCAGCCGGGUUUCAAAAGUUCAUUAUUUUGUGUUGUAAGUGGAAAACCUGGUUCUAGCAAAUGAAGCCUGAGGAUGCCAUUUUGGCUGCUUAGAUUUAUCAAAUGUUUGAUCACCAAUGAGAUAAACCAAAAGAGAGGGGAGAGGAGAAAAGGAGUAAAGAAACACACACAAUAAAAUUCUUUCUCUGAAAUGGGUUCUAAAGUUAAUAUUUUAGAAAGUUCCAAAGAGACAAGAAAAAAAGAGAAGGUUCUAAAGAGUUAUAUGAACUCCCACUCCAUUUUCUCUCAAAUCCAAUCAAAUGCUUGAUGAUACAUCAUUAAUUUUGCAUGCAUCUUACAAUAAGCAUUUUUCAUAUCAAUUGAACUUAUCUCUCACUACGCAAUGUGAUCAUAUUUCAAAAUUUAAAACUUCUUAAAAAUUGUAGAAUAAAAGAUUAAACUACAGGGAGUCUUUUUUGAGCAUUUUUUUUUUAUUAAAACAAGAAAUAAAUCUUUAAACCAUCUCAAAAUUUUUUAACAAAAUUCUUAUUUUUUAUUAUAUUAAAAUAUAAAUUUUAUUUAAAAAAAAGUCUUUUAUAUUGACAAAAGAAAAUUAUGUGACAUAUCUAAUUUUAUUGAUAUCCUUACAUCCUUCGUCCUUAUGACACAUGACAUCCUUUGACGUAGGUCUUGGGUUCACAAUGGUGGAAGAUAAAUCGGCAUUUUCUCUUGAGUAGAAAGAUCAAUUUGAAUUAAAAAAAAAAUAAAGUUAUUUUUAACAUGAGCUUAAUGCUGAUCAUUUUAAACAAAAAGGCUUCAAAUCAAAAAGCUUUUCAACGCUUCAUUUAGUGCCGGAAUCAUGUGAAGUCAUUUUAUAGAUACAUCAUUUGUUCUUACAACAUCACUUUGACCAAUGGUUUGCAACAUAGCCUUGAGGAAUCAUGUCCACAUAAACCAUUAUGAAGCUGAAAGAAAAUCCAGCAAAAUUCAAGCGAAAGUCAUUCUUCCACUCAUCAUUCUCACAAUUUUUCAUGUGCUUUUUGCUCACUCACCAUCUGGAUACUUUUGACGUGUGGUAAAGGUAUCUUUCAAAAUUUGACUGACAAAUGUGCUCUUCAAAGUUUCCUAAAAGUCUCCAUAAAUCAUUUUGGAAUGAUCACUUUUCGAAAAUCAUCUCAUGGAUUAGGCACUUGAUUCUUUGACUUGAUUAGUCCUUUCUAGUUGCCUUAUGUCCUAAAGAAAGUUAACCAUCUUUUCAUACAUUGGUAUGAAUAUUUUAAUCGUUCUUGAUCAAUUAUGGUCAAUCUUGCUUACUCUUUUCAAAUAAACGCAUAAAAUAUGCAUCCCCACUCAAUGUUUUCCCUCCAAAGGGCAUGGAUCAAUUUUUUUCAAAGCAUCAUCUUUUGCAAACUUUGAAAAUCAAUUUCAUUCAGUCUUUUCCCGCCAUAUGGGUAUCAUGAAUAACUUCUUACAUUCUUAUGAGGGGGUAUCUCAUAAAAUUUCAAUCUCAAACAUUGAUGAUUUGCCGAAGAUAUCUUAGAAGAAUUCAACAUUAUUGCAUCAUAAAUUCCAAUGUCUUCUGUCGAAUGUUAUGAUAUUAAAUAAAAGCCAAUCAAUCAAUAGUUAACAAUGCGACAUUAAAGAAAAGAAAAAGACCAUUUCUUGUCGAACAAUGCAACAUUAAAGAUUAAAGAAUCUUCAUCUUUAAUUCUCUGAUAAACCCACAACAUUCUUUAGCAACGCCAAAGUAAAAUUUACAUCAUAAAGCAAAUCUUUUUCUAAUGUUUUUUUCUCACAACUCUAGGUUUUUCUUUUCUAUGGAAACUACGAUUUUCAUGACAGGUUUUCUUGGCAACCCUAAAGUUUUAAUUUUCUGGCAACCCCAUAAUUCUUUUCAAUAAUUUUGAAGUAAAAAUAUCAUCUCAAUUUUUCCUAGAAACCCAAAGACUUUUUUUGGCAAUUCCAAAGUUUAUUUUUGACAAUAUUGAAGUACAAUCUCCUCCUAGUGAUCCCAAGACUUUCUAUGGCAACCCUAUAUGUCACAACCUAAUCUCAGGUCACUACCCGUGCAAGAAUCAAGAAAAUAGGACCCCUUAAUCCAAAUAAGCCUUGCUUGUCAAGAACACCUAUACAUAGUACCAUCACAAGUAUAAUCAAAUAUCUGCAAACCUCAGCAAAAAAAUGCAUAAAUGUACCUUCAUUCAACAACAAACACCAAGCUCAUUUUGCCACUUACAUAUAUCAAGUCAUGACGCCAUCCAUCUCACACAACCCAUGUGCCCACGUGGGCCCUCGAGCCAUCACACUAAACCCAUGCCUAUACAUACAUAUAUAUAUAUAUAUAUCCUAAUAUAUAUAACAUGUAUAGCAAAACCGAAAUCCAACUUUGGGUGAACAAUUUAAAUGAAAUUCAUGGGNGUAUGCAUGUAUGUAUAUAUGUAUGUAUGUAUGUGCACCAAAAUACGUUGUCAUUCUUGGCUACAAAAUAAGAGUGUAAGCCAACAUUUAUAGUUACAUUACUAAAAUAGACUUGUCAAUGGAACGUAACCUGGUACAAGUAAGCUCCAUAAUUGACCACUUAGCAUACAUAUCAAACGAGACUCGAGGAUCCCUCCUGAGAUGGCGAUCUAAACUAAGUCACGUAUUUAAAAACCGAAAACAUAAGGUUUGAAAACAAGAAUAUAACAUAGAGACUGAAUAAUGCAAGGGAAUAAGCCAAGCAUGAUUCAUUAAUAAUACAAUGCCUUUAUUUGCAAACCAUGCACCUUGUUUUCAAAGCCAAAUCCUAUUCAAAUCAUAGAUGAACAAUGUUUUGUGCAUCAAUUAGAUGAGCUUAUACAUGUAUGAAAACUCCUUUAGAAGUUGGGAGAAAGGUACCAACCAAUGGCUCUUGAAAAACACUCAAAAAGAUUGAAGAAUUUAAUUUAGGUACAGGGGAUUAACCUUUUGGCCUCAAGGGGUCGAUCUUUAUCGCACAGAACUUAUCUUGUAGGUUUUGUCUUGGAGUCAAUCCCUCCUUAACAAAAAGAUUGUAAAUGGCUACUAAAUGCUAAAAGUCAACCCUUUCUAAUUUAAGGGUCGAUCCCUCCUAGCCAGAAAGCUUUCAAACAGCUUUUGGAUGUUAGGGAUCAACCUUUUGAGCCUCAAGGAUCAAUCCUUCUUGACUAGAAUAUAAAUUUUGAGUUCUUUUGAAUGGCAACUUAGGUCCAACAAGAGGGAAUCUGCAUUCUUCCAUCAUAAGCCUCUCUCACAAGGUCAUCACCAUCAAAUUAUCAAACCUCAUUACACCAUAAAGGGAAGAUCAUAAUCCAAACCCAUAAUUAGCUUAGUUGAGCACCAUUUCUAAGAUUUAAUCUAAGUGUUCACCUAAAUGGAAUUGUCAAAUAAAUAAGAUUCAAGUCAAAGGUCUCUUAACCAAUGGAGUAGUGCCAUAACCUCCACUACUUAAAGCAUCAAGCAUGUGUCUCACUCACCACAUAUGUCUAGCAUCAAGCGUUGGUAGAUAGGCAACAAGCACGUGUUUCACUAAAUACACAUGUUUAGCACCAAGCCUUACUAGAUAGUAUAACAAACAUGUGUCUUACCCACUACACAUAUCUAGCACUAAUCCUUGCUAGAUAGGUAUCAAGCGUGUGUCUUACCCACUACACAUAUCUAGCACUAAUCCUUGCUAGAUAGGUAUCAAGCGUGUGUCUUACCCACUACACAUGUCUAGCACCAAGUUUUGCUAGAUAAACAACAAGCAUGUGUCUCAUUUAAUACACAUGUCUAGCACCAACCUUUGCUAGAUAUGUAUAACAAGCAUGUGUAUUACACAUUGCACAUGUCUAGCACCAAGCUUUUUUAGAUAGGCAUCAACCAUGUGUCUCAUGCAAUAAACAUGUCUAACACUAACCUUUCUUAGAUAGGUAUAACAAGCACGUAUCUUACCCAUUACACAUGUUUAGCACCAAACCUUACUAAAUAGGCAUCAAGCAUGUGUCUAAUGGGAAAGGUCCAACCAUGCAUCAUAAUGCAAAUAACAAAAAUAAAACAAAAUACAAACGUAGAAGAGUAACAAUUAAAAUUGACCUUUUCACCCAUGGUCUCUUUCAUGGGUUUUUGGAUUAUUUGUAAUGCAAUAACACAUAUAUGUGAUCUGGUCAUUACCUUAGGGACAAAGGAAAGUUUGAUUCCUUGUCCAAACUACACCAAACAACUCCUCUAAGAGACCUCACACCAAGCUCGGUUGUUGCAGACAAAGCUGUCCAAUAAAUGUUUAUGCAGCCUCUAACAAAAGUCCACAUGGUGAAUAGAGAAAUCCCUACAAGAGGGUGGGAUUGCCAAACCUUCAACGUGCUAGCAAGGAUGUGUUCUAAAACACUAUUCCCUUCCUUUCACCCUAGUCUAAAGAAUAAGAGAAAAAUAGAUUUUUCUCUCACCCACUCACAAAGGUUGGCAAUACUACUUACUAGUGUUGAGUGGUGGCUAAUUAAAGUGUGCAAGAUACUCUAAAGAAUUAUUGUAAAGGUUUAGAGCUUAGGUUAAAAGUUUACUUUGUAAAAGCUAGUUGGAAGCUGUUAAUUCUACUGGUUUUAAUAAAGUUUGGUUAAAAAUUCUUAAUUAAGAAAAUCAAAAUAGUGAAUAUAGGUCAGGUGGACUGAAUCACUAUAAAUAUUACGCUUUGUCCAUUUCUUUUAACCUUUCUUUACUUCGUGUUCAUUAACCUCAAUAAAUUUUCAAACAAUCCAUCUUAAUUCUUUCAAAAGAUUUGAGACUCAAAUGAUUUCUUUCAAAAUUAUUUGUAAGUGUGAUUCAUCCCCCUCUAACACUCCUUUUUGGGACCAACAAUGUCUUCCUCGACCCCGUGUGACUGAUGUAUAUGGCCUAACAAAAGUCUUGUUAAGAACAUUCUGCUCCUCUGUGUCUCUAGUCGUUGCUUAUGUUUUAGGCGACAUCUCAUCUAGAUAAUAACAAACACUAAUCGUGAUAACCCUUUAAAAAACAACCAAUUGUAACACAAAAAGGCAGCUUCACAAUAAUUAAGAACAACAAGAAGUCAAACCAUCUCAUAUACACAACAAAAUUUAGCCAACAAUGACAAACCAUUCUUAGUUUGUUCCUAAUUCCAUAACAGCAAAGGCCAUAACGCCAGAACAGCCUUUUGUACCCUUAAAGCACAAUUCAAAACAUUGAUCCAAUUCCAUACCAGUUUAAAUGAAAAACUUAAUUUUAAUAGAAGAAGAGGAGAAUAAGAGGAUGAAGUCGGACAGAUAAAAAAAAAAGUAGAAGAAGAACAAAAAUUUAGAAAGGAAUUUUUUUUGUAUUUUUUAAAGUAAAUUAUUAAUAUUUAAUUUUAAAUUUUUAUAAAUUUAUAAUUUUAUCUCAUUAGUAAAGUUGUAGCAUUUGGCAAGCUAACAGUUUAUAAAAACUAUACAUUGCAUCAAGUAUAAAUCUUUAUUUUUAACAAAUUUUUAUUAGUGAUAAGAUUUAAAUUCUUACCCUCUUAAUUACUAAUUAAAGGAUGAACCAUUUUUAUACCUUUUAAUCAUAUUUAAUAUAUAUUUAAUGUUUUUCUUUUUUUAAUAUAAAUUAUUAAAAUUGAACCGAUUAAAUUAAGAAUGGAUAGUAUCAUUGGUCCAAUUCUCAAUCCGACUUUUCAAUCAUUAAUUAAAUUUACAAAUUAAAACAUAUAAAAGAAAAGGAUGACUUUUCAAUCAUUGAUGUUUUCUUUUGAAAAUUAAAAAGAAAUUCGUGCCCAUCCUUUAAUGAAAAGAAAAAACAACCAAUCCUCUUUUUCUUUUUUGUAAAAAUCAAUAUAGAAAAGUUGAAAACUUGAUUUUCAAGGCAAAUUUUGCCUGAUGGGGACCGGAGCAGCUGGGAAGCCGUCAGCUUUUGACAUUAUCUUAUCUUCUCUCAUUCUAUGCCGCCAAAUUACUUGACAAAGAAACAGCCACGUGUAACAAAAAAUGAUUUUAUUACUGAUUGAGGAAGAAAAAUAUAGAAAAAAAAAAGUACAUUGGGGUAAGGCCAAGGCGACUAAUAUAGACAAAAAUACUUUAGGAUUGUUUUGUUUCCUUAUUCACCUUCACAGCCUACCAACUUCUCCCACGCAAAAAGGGAGGUUCAGUGAAAUCUCUCGACGCGGGAACGUUGCAAUCCGUCUAUUUGUCCAGGUGGGCCCCACAUCUGGAAUUCCUGGUUACUGUAUCACCUCCCGUGUUUGUCCUUCUCAGUUUGCUCUGUCUUUUUGCCUUCGCACCAAACUUUCCUCUCAGAAAAAAAUGGCGGAGGAUCUGAUGCAUGCGGUUCAGUACACUAGUUAUGGCGGAGGAGCUUCUGGUUUGAAGGUAAUUUACUUUAUUCCAAUUAUGUAUUUGAUCUUAUUUGCCGGGUUCAAAAGUUCAAACACAAGGGAAUGACUUACGUUUUUAAAGGUAGACAUAAACCUUUUUUUAUAUGAUUUUUUUGCACAUAACAUAACCUUUUUUGAAAAUAAUAUCUUAGUACUAUUGUUUUCUCAAGGAGUAAAUAAUAUUAAAUUGUUAUGAAAAAGAUAAAAGAGAUUUAUAAUUUUCACUAAAAAGAUAAUAAAAAUCGUAAUUUUUUACAACUUCUUCCUCAAUACAUGAUCGCUAACAUUUUUAUAGUUUAGUAAGGAUGAGGAAAAACCACUUCAAUAUCGCUAACGUUUUUAUAGUUUAAUAAAAUCAAGGACAAGUUUUUUGUAUGUUAUAAUUAAAAAAAAAGGGGAAAUUACGGAUUUGCUCUGAGGUGAGUAAAAUCUCCUUAUUGACAAAAGUGAUGCGAAGAAAUGAUGUUUGCAGUUUUCUGCAAUUUUAAUGAAUUUUCUUUUAUGUCAAAUGUGUUCUGGUGGGAAUUUUAUUUUAUCUACUUAUGCUUAGAGUGUCGACAGAGUAUUCGUAAUUUUAAAUUCAUAAGUUUGACGUUAUUGCGUAUUGACAUUAUAGAUCCUAUAUUGUUUUGUUUUUAUGUCUGCUUCAUAAAUCAUUUUUUAUUUUUGCCGAGCCAGUAAUUUCAUUAAUCAAAAACUUGCUUGUUUAAACUCAAGUGCAAGCAAGUCCUGCUUACAAGGAUACACCAGAAUACAGAAUGCAGCAAAAGUAAAAAGCCCUCAAAACAAUGCUAACAGAAGCUCAAAACCCAGGAACCCAACGAGACAAUUAGAUCACCCGAGAGACCUGAAGAGGAGGUUGGAACAAGUUUCCAGAACCCCCUUAGUUAGAAACUUCUUUAAUUUAAGGCUGAUCCCUCCACAACAUUCUUUUUAACUUGCUUUUCCUCAUGGAGUGAAGUCGUUAAUAGUCAAACAUUCAAGUUUUGCUGCAACUAUACCCCAUAGAUGGACAUAAACUUGCUUGAACAACCCUCCUCAUGCUUUAAUCUAUCUUCUUAUCCCAGAACAUCUGCAACACCUGAUUGGCCUCUAUGAGGUAACUCCACCCAGUCCCCAUCAUAAAACAUAAAACAUUAACAUUAGGAAUUUAAGAUUCUAAUAUAUAAAAUAAGGUUCUUAAAUAUAAAGUCUUAUUGUCUUUUUUAGUGAAAAUUAAAAGGAUUUUUAGUGGAAAUUUGAUACCCUUAUGAAAACAGAAUUAAAAUAUAAAGUUUUACUUGGAAAAAAAAAAUCUCAUGGUGUUAUAUGAGAAGAGGGGUCUAUACGCAGUUCAUUUUUUUUCUUAAAUGGACAUUUCAAUUAAGGUUGGUAGUCUAGUGCUUUAUUGAUCAAAGGAAGGGGGAAGAAGGGUUUUAAAACCUUAUCAUCGAAAUAAAUUUUGAUUGAAAGCUUCAAGAGAGGGUAGGCAUUAGGAAACUGAAAUUUCUAGAAUGGAAAGAAAUGAAUGGUUGAGUUCAGGAUUUGCUCUAAGGAAUCUAAGAAAGGGUCUGAGACGUUGACAGCAAAGUGGUAACAUCUUUUUUGCAAAUGUGCUUCCAGCAUUUUCCUGCUUUUGUGAACUUUAAAAGACUGCCCGAGAGACUUGAUGUUAUAACAGCUGCGAGUUUUUAUGCCUGUUGCAGCAUGUUGAAGUUCCGAUUCCCACUCCUAAACAAGACGAAGUUCUGCUAAAACUGGAGGCCUCUAGUCUCAAUCCAGUUGACUGGAAACUGCAGAAAGGGGUACUGCGGCCCUUUUUACCUCGCAAAUUCCCCUAUAUACCUGGUAGUUUACUUUUUUCUUGUGGCCGUUUCAAAGUUGUAAUCUUCUUGAGACUCUUUCUUUUAAUCGGCUGAAUGAUAUUUGUAUUUAUUUGACAUUAUUAGCUUACUCUUAAGCUUACAUCUGUCUUACAAAUCUGGGUUUUCUUACUAUGUCAAAAUCCCAAGAAGUGCAUUCUAAAUAAUGACUUGUUUAAUAUCAUUUGGAUGAUUCGACAUGGUAAUUUAAUCUGCAUCAAUACAUUUAUGGAUUGUGCAUUAGUGGCUGUUCUUAGUAGGCAAAAUGUGUCUAUUUGUUCACUAAGGGAUAUCUGUGUGUUUAUUAACUAGCAAAAGUAAAUUACUGGUAAAAAAAUCUCUUAAUUCAACCACUUGUGGGAAUCUUAUGGUAAAUUAUGGGGUCCCAUUGUUAUGGAAUUGGUCUUUUCUAAAUGUAAAGACUUUAUAUCUCAAAAGUAAAUUUGGCUCACUAUCAUAUAUCGAUUGCAACUUACAUUAAAAGUAUCCAACUUUGAAUUAUAAUUUUCCUUGUUCACUGGUCUCUGUGAAGCAUUGCACUUUUCUUUCUUCUAAUCUUUUGGUUGCCUUUCUUCAACCAUUGGCUAAAGAACUUUUGGUGGAGCAGGUACUGAUGUAGCUGGAGAAGUGAUAAAGGUUGGACCAGGAGUCAAGAAUUACAAUGCUGGGGAUAAAGUUGUGGCUAUUUUUAGCCAUGCUGUAAGUUGUCAUUCUUAUUCUUCUGGUUUUAAUCAUGUCCAAAUUUUUAUUCAUUUUAGAAGUCCAAUCUAGCAGGCUCUUCACUGAAGAGGCACUAUCAUAUUGUAAUAAUCUGAAUGACUGGCUAGUUUUGCACACAAGUUGUAGGGUAGUGUGUCAUCAAUCAUUCUGAGAAUAAUCAGAAAAGGAUAUUUCUCAUGAACAGUGGAAGAAGUACUAGCAAUGUACUAGCCUAGUGGAUAAAUUUGGAAAAUUGAUGGCAUUUGUGUCUUUGGGUGUUAGCUCAGUCAAUUAAUCAGGUGCUGAAGUUUGGUAGGACUUUAGUGCAACCGGACUUGGGUGCAACCCCAACAAUUUUUGGAAUAAAAAGGACUUCUUACAGCCAAAGAAUCCACUUCAGAAUUGAUGUCUUUAGAAUCCAAUAAUGGAAGAAAAUUAUUAUUUCAUAGACCCUUAUAAAGUAUUUUCAAGGAUCAGUGCUAGCUUUUUCUCUCCAAAUGAACCAUGCCAAUCUUCCAAUGAGUGGCCUUGGUUAUCUCUAGUCAUGACAUCUGCUGAGCAUUGCUCUGCUUGCCUGUUUGGAUGAAUCAAAGUUAAUGAAACCUUUGUGUCUUGUCAUCCCCGGAAUUUGAAAAGCUGUUAUAUUUCUGAUUGUAGGUUGCUUUUCCUUGUAGAUAGAAAGAUUAACUUUUUAAAUGGUAAGCCUUUCACGGGAAACAUAUGUAUGUUUGACAUUCCACUGGCCUAUUUGUUGAUUCAAGCUAUAGGAAAAUUCCCAGCCCCAGAUAUUUUUUGCGCCUUCUUAAUUUUCAUAUUGAGCUGUAUCAUGUUUUGAAUGCUACUUUUGUCUAUGUGACUAUCAUUUCCGAGGAAGUCAUUGUACUACCACUUUGUGAGGCAUUUGGCUGUGAGAAGACCUAGAUAUUAUUACUGUGGGCCUGUGGUAUGGUGAUUUCAUAUUCUGGUUGUAUUAUGAGCAACACAGCAUCAUUUAUGUCAUUUGCUAUGGCCACCAUCUAUUAUGAAUAUAUUUUUGCAAUGACAGACUGGAGGUGGACUAGCUGAAUUUGCUGUGGCUAAGGAGAGUUUGACAGUUGCAAGGCCUCCAGAAGUAUCAGCUGCUGAAGGUGCAGGUUUGCCUAUUGCUGGCCUUACAGCUCACCAGGCACUCACCCAGUCCGCUGGGAUCAAGCUUGACAGAAGCUGCCAGCAAGUAAAUCUCCUAAUUACUGCUGCUUCAGGUGGCGUAGGUCAGUAUGCAGUUCAACUGGCAAAGCUUGGAAACACACAUGUGACAGCCACUUGUGGGGCUCGUAACAUGGAUCUUGUCAAGAGCCUGGGGGCAGAUGAAGUUCUUGACUACAAGACUCCUGAUGGGGCAGCUCUGAAGAGCCCUUCUGGUCGCAAAUAUGAUGCAGUGAUCCACUGUGCAAUGGGCAUUCCUUGGUCUACCUUUGAGCCUAAUUUGAGUGCAAAUGGGAAGGUAAUAGAUAUUACUCCUGGCCCUAGUGCUUUAAUGACUUUUGCUUUGAAAAAGCUUACCUUCUCCAAGAAGCAGCUGGUACCUAUGAUAAUGACACCUAAGAAAGAGAACCUUGAUUAUCUUGUGAAGUUGGUGAAGGAGGGAAAGCUUAAGACAGUAAUUGAUUCAAAGCAUCCCCUGAGUAAGGCUGAAGAUGCUUGGGCUAAGAGCAUUGCUGGCCAUGCUACUGGGAAGAUAAUUGUGGAGCCUUAGUUUAUG
rnacentral:lncRNA from 1 species